UUAAAAAGCUUGAACGCAGAGGCCAGAAGAGAGUGAUUUAAGACUGGUGGAGGACCAGAACAUAACAAAACCGAUGAAUUCAGUGACUUGCUGUCUGGAAUUAUAAACCGCCAGCAACCUCUGGGUGGUAUACCAGACGGUGACCAUGUAGAAAGGUCAGAUGAAGACCUCAGCACAAAUGAGGAAAGGAAUCUAAACAGGCUUGAAGAGCCAGGGCACAAUGAGUGUGUGCCAUCCACCUGUAUUGUAACAUCCCUGAGAGAAGAUGAUGCCACCACCUUUCAGCAGAGAACAACAAAGAUGACCAUGCGUGAAAAGAUUACUGCAUGGCAUCCUGUGAGAAAAUGAAAUCGACAGCCAUGGAAGUCAUCUGUUGAACACUCCAUUCUCCCAGGAUAUGAGUGGAUGUAAUUAUGAGUGUAUAGUGCACGCUUUCCUGUUUGACUGGGCUGCUUUUCCAUUUAUAUACAUGUGUGAUAGCAUUAUCAUUUUUAUAGAAAAAUGAGGGGGAAAA